rnacentral:rRNA from 1 species
CAGCCGCCGCGGUAAUACGGAGGGUGCAAGCGUUAAUCGGAAUUACUGGGCGUAAAGCGUGCGUAGGCGGUUUAUUAAGUCAGAUGUGAAAGCCCCGGGCUUAACCUGGGAACUGCAUUUGAAACUGGUCAACUAGAGUAUGGUAGAGGAAAGUGGAAUUUCUGGUGUAGCGGUGAAAUGCGUAGAUAUCAGAAGGAACAUCAAUGGCGAAGGCAGCUUUCUGGACCAAUACUGACGCUGAGGUACGAAAGCGUGGGUAGCAAACAGGAUUAGAUACCCUGGUAGUCCACGCCGUAAACGAUGAUAACUAGCCGUUGGGGGGAUUUACCCUUUAGUGGCGAAGCUAACGCGUUAAGUUAUCCGCCUGGGGAGUACGGCCGCAAGGCUAAAACUCAAAGGAAUUGACGGGGACCCGCACAAGCGGUGGAGCAUGUGGUUUAAUUCGAUGCAACGCGAAGAACCUUACCUGGUCUUGACAUCCUGCGAACUUUCUAGAAAUAGAUUGGUGCCUUCGGGAACGCAGUGACAGGUGCUGCAUGGCUGUCGUCAGCUCGUGUCGUGAGAUGUUGGGUUAAGUCCCGUAACGAGCGCAACCCCUAUCCUUAUUUGCCAGCACGUCAUGGUGGGAACUAUAAGGAGACUGCCGGUGAUAAACCGGAGGAAGGCGGGGACGACGUCAAGUCAUCAUGGCCCUUACGACCAGGGCUACACACGUGCUACAAUGGGAAGGACAAAGAGCCGCGAAGCCGCGAGGUGUAGCUAAUCUCAGAAACCUUUUCGUAGUCCGGAUUGGAGUCUGCAACUCGACUCCAUGAAGUCGGAAUCGCUAGUAAUCGUAGAUCAGAAUGCUACGGUGAAUACGUUCUCGGGCCUUGUACACACCGCCCGU